GACGAACGCUGGCGGCGUGCUUAACACAUGCAAGUCGAACGAAGAGCGAUGGAAGCUUGCUUCUAUCAAUCUUAGUGGCGAACGGGUGAGUAACGCGUAAUCAACCUGCCCUUCAGAGGGGGACAACAGUUGGAAACGACUGCUAAUACCGCAUACGAUCUCAUCUCGGCAUCGAGGAUAGAUGAAAGGUGGCCUCUACAUGUAAGCUAUCACUGAAGGAGGGGAUUGCGUCUGAUUAGCUAGUUGGAGGGGUAACGGCCCACCAAGGCGAUGAUCAGUAGCCGGUCUGCGAGGAUGAACGGCCACAUUGGGACUGAGACACGGCCCAGACUCCUACGGGAGGCAGCAGUGGGGAAUCUUCCGCAAUGGACGAAAGUCUGACGGAGCAACGCCGCGUGAGUGAUGACGGCCUUCGGGUUGUAAAGCUCUGUUAAUCGGGACGAAAGGCCUUCUUGCGAAUAGUGAGAAGGAUUGACGGUACCGGAAUAGAAAGCCACGGCUAACUACGUG
rnacentral:rRNA from 1 species